GACGAACGCUGGCGGCGUGCUUAACACAUGCAAGUCGAACGGAAAGGCCCUGCUUUUGUGUGGUGCUCGUUUGGCGAACGGGUGUGUAACACGUGAGUAACCUGCCCUUGACUUUGGGAUAACUUCAGGAAAAUGGGGCUCAUACCGCAUAUAAGCUCCUGCUGCAUGGGGUUGGUUGGAAAGUUUCGGCGGUUGGGGCUGUACUCGCGGCUUAUCAGCUUGUUGGUGGGGUAGUGGCUUACCAAGGCUUUGACGGGUAGCCUGCCUGAGAGGGUGACCGGCCACAUUGGGACUGAGAUACGGCCCAGACUCCUACGGGAGGCAGCAGUGGGGAAUAUUGCAGAAUGGGCGGAAGCCUGAUGCAGCAACGCCGCGUGCGGGAUGACGGCCUUCGGGUUGUAAACCGAUUUCGCCUGUGACGAAGCGUGAGUGACGGUAAUGGGUAAAGAAGCACCGGCUAACUACGUG
rnacentral:rRNA from 1 species